rnacentral:piRNA from 1 species
AAAAGGAGAGAAGGACAUUCCUGG